ensembl:lncRNA
AUCCAAUCUGGCAACCUUAGUACUGUUGGACUGUUGCUUUGCAUGACAGCCAAUACUUCUAUUAUGCUUUAUCUGCUAAGUCCUGUUAUUGUUAUAUGCUGUCAAGUCAGUUUUGACUUGACACUUUCGUUUAGGGUUUGUUGUUGUGCUCCUCCUCAUAAUUUAACUAGCACAAAGCCUCAUUUGUCCUGAAUUCGGCACUGACUCUAAAACAGUGGUUCUCAACCUGUAGGACCCCAGGUGUUUUGGCCUACAACUCCAGAAAUCUCAGCCAGUUUACCAGCUGUUAGGAUUUCUGGGAGUUGAAGGCCAAAACAUCUGGGGACCCACAGGUUGAGAACCAUUGCUCUAAGGCAAACCCUUCAUGGGAUUUUCUUGGCAAGACUUGUUCAGAGGGAGCUUGCUUUGCCUUUGUUUGAGGCUAAGAGAGUGCGAUUUGUCCAAGCUCUCUCAAUGGGUUUCUAAGGCUGAUGAAAGAUACAAACCCUGGUCUCAAGUCAUAGUUCAGUACUCUCUAGCUACUACAUCAUGCUGGUAACAGAGUCAAAAAUGGAAAGGGUAUCUGUACCUUAAAUAAGGAAUUUCAGCAGGUGAUGUAUGUACCUGAUUCCAUGACAAGUAACAUAGAGCACCUGCUGAAAUUCCCUAUUUAAGGUACAGGAGCCCUCUCCAUUUUCCACCAGAUAACUUACACCACCAGCUGAAAUUUCCUCAUCUACAUGACAAUUAAAGUGACGACAAAGCUUCCAUCUCCUGCAGUCUAACCCAUUUGAAGAGCUGGAUUCAGAAGGCAGAAAACAAUACUUGGUUGGUUCAGCUGGACUUUGCGUCUUCACUGAGAGACAGGCACGGCGACUCAAGUUCUGCCAUUUUUUGGCUAAGACCAUCUCUGACAACACCUGGUUCUCAACAGGGAAUAGCAGAGGCCACUGGUUCAGCGUGGACCAUACCCUCAAAUAAAUUAAGUGCCAUGGGACAGCUAAACAUGCAGUUAAUAAAAAUAACUAAACCAGGCGAUGCUGCUGACAUUUGUAUUUGUAUUUGUAAAACUGUGCUUGAAUUCGUUUUUGAUUUUAUACUGCUUGUUAUUUAUUGUUUGUUUUAUAUUUUAACUUGUUACACUUUGUCUUUUUGGGCUUGGCCCCAUGUUAGCCACCCCGAGUCCCUUCGGGGAGAUGGUGGCGGGAUACAAAAAUAAAGUAUUAUUAUAAUAUUAUUAUUAUUAACUGGCUAGAUGGAGCAACUCUAAUACAUGCCAAUGGCCCAUUGACACUAUUCUGGGGUUCCCGACUCUCCAAAAGCAAGUACCGGUUUUAGAAAAGGAGAUCUUGUUUGUCCAGACCAAAGUAAGGAGAGAGCAGGUUUCAUUGCCUCCCCCAUUUGACAUUAUGCUGUUCAUUUUCAUUUUUUUCCACCUGCAGAUGUAACAGACUUCUUCAGAAACCAGUAUAGUAUAAUCCCUGUAUCCAAGGGGGAUAUGUUCCCAGAUUUUGUGUGAAUAAUACUUUUUUUUUCAUGUCAGGAGCGACUUGAGAAACUGCAAGUCACUUCUGGUGUGAGAGAAUUUGCCGUCUGUGAGGACGUUGCCCAGGGGAUGCUCGGAUGUUUUGAUGUUUUUACCAUCCUUGUGGGAGGCUUCUCUCAUGUCCGCAUGGAGCUGGAGCUGAUAGAGGGAGCUCAUCUGCGCUCUCCCGGGGUGGGAUUCGAACCUGGCAGCCUUCAGGUCAGCAACCCAACCUUCAAGUUACAAGGCUUUAACCCACUACGCCACUGGGGGCUCCAUGUGAAUAUAUGAAACCGCAGAUUAAAUAAUUAAAUAUUAUUGAAAUGAAGGACUUCUGGCCCAAGAAUA